rnacentral:rRNA from 1 species
GGCUCCUACGGGGCGCAGCAGUAGGGAAUUUUCGUCAAUGGGCGCAAGCCUGAACGAGCGAUGCCGCGUGAGUGAAGAAGGCCUUCGGGUCGUAAAGCUCUGUUGCGGGGGAAAAAAGGCAGCAUCAGGAAAUGGGUGCUGACUGAUGGUGCCCCGCCAGAAAGUCACGGCUAACUACGUGCCAGCAGCCGCGGUAAUACGUAGGUGGCGAGCGUUAUCCGGAAUGAUUGGGCGUAAAGGGUGCGCAGGCGGUCCUGCAAGUCUGGUGUGAAAGCCAUGGGCUAAACUCAGGCGUGGCUUUGGAA